UUAAGUUAUUAAGGGCGCACGGUGGAUGCCUUGGCACUAGAAGCCGAUGAAGGACGUUACUAACGACGAUAUGCUUUGGGGAGCUGUAAGUAAGCUUUGAUCCAGAGAUUUCCGAAUGGGGAAACCCAGCAUGAGUUAUGUCAUGUUAUCGAUAUGUGAAUACAUAGCAUAUCAGAAGGCACACCCGGAGAACUGAAACAUCUUAGUACCCGGAGGAAGAAAAAGAAAAUUCGAUUCCCUUAGUAGCGGCGAGCGAAACGGGAAGAGCCCAAACCAACAAGCUUGCUUGUUGGGGUUGUAGGACACUCUAUACGGAGUUACAAAAGAACAUGUUAGACGAAUCAUCUGGAAAGAUGAAUCAAAGAAGGUAAUAAUCCUGUAGUCGAAAAUGUUGUCUCUCUUGAGUGGAUCCUGAGUACGACGGAGCACGUGAAAUUCCGUCGGAAUCUGGGAGGACCAUCUCCUAAGGCUAAAUACUCUCUAGUGACCGAUAGUGAACCAGUACCGUGAGGGAAAGGUGAAAAGCACCCCGGAAGGGGAGUGAAAUAGAACCUGAAACCGUGUGCUUACAAGUAGUCAGAGCCCGUUAAUGGGUGAUGGCGUGCCUUUUGUAGAAUGAACCGGCGAGUUACGAUUUGAUGCAAGGUUAAGCAGUAAAUGUGGAGCCGUAGCGAAAGCGAGUCUGAAUAGGGCGUUUAGUAUUUGGUCGUAGACCCGAAACCAGGUGAUCUACCCUUGGUCAGGUUGAAGUUCAGGUAACACUGAAUGGAGGACCGAACCGACUUACGUUGAAAAGUGAGCGGAUGAACUGAGGGUAGCGGAGAAAUUCCAAUCGAACCUGGAGAUAGCUGGUUCUCUCCGAAAUAGCUUUAGGGCUAGCCUCAAGUGAUGAUUAUUGGAGGUAGAGCACUGUUUGGACGAGGGGCCCCUCUCGGGUUACCGAAUUCAGACAAACUCCGAAUGCCAAUUAAUUUAACUUGGGAGUCAGAACAUGGGUGAUAAGGUCCGUGUUCGAAAGGGAAACAGCCCAGACCACCAGCUAAGGUCCCAAAAUAUAUGUUAAGUGGAAAAGGAUGUGGCGUUGCCCAGACAACUAGGAUGUUGGCUUAGAAGCAGCCAUCAUUUAAAGAGUGCGUAAUAGCUCACUAGUCGAGUGACACUGCGCCGAAAAUGUACCGGGGCUAAACAUAUUACCGAAGCUGUGGAUUGUCCUUUGGACAAUGGUAGGAGAGCGUUCUAAGGGCGUUGAAGCAUGAUCGUAAGGACAUGUGGAGCGCUUAGAAGUGAGAAUGCCGGUGUGAGUAGCGAAAGACGGGUGAGAAUCCCGUCCACCGAUUGACUAAGGUUUCCAGAGGAAGGCUCGUCCGCUCUGGGUUAGUCGGGUCCUAAGCUGAGGCCGACAGGCGUAGGCGAUGGAUAACAGGUUGAUAUUCCUGUACCACCUAUAAUCGUUUUAAUCGAUGGGGGGACGCAGUAGGAUAGGCGAAGCGUGCGAUUGGAUUGCACGUCUAAGCAGUAAGGCUGAGUAUUAGGCAAAUCCGGUACUCGUUAAGGCUGAGCUGUGAUGGGGAGAAGACAUUGUGUCUUCGAGUCGUUGAUUUCACACUGCCGAGAAAAGCCUCUAGAUAGAAAAUAGGUGCCCGUACCGCAAACCGACACAGGUAGUCAAGAUGAGAAUUCUAAGGUGAGCGAGCGAACUCUCGUUAAGGAACUCGGCAAAAUGACCCCGUAACUUCGGGAGAAGGGGUGCUCUUUAGGGUUAACGCCCAGAAGAGCCGCAGUGAAUAGGCCCAAGCGACUGUUUAUCAAAAACACAGGUCUCUGCUAAACCGUAAGGUGAUGUAUAGGGGCUGACGCCUGCCCGGUGCUGGAAGGUUAAGAGGAGUGGUUAGCUUCUGCGAAGCUACGAAUCGAAGCCCCAGUAAACGGCGGCCGUAACUAUAACGGUCCUAAGGUAGCGAAAUUCCUUGUCGGGUAAGUUCCGACCCGCACGAAAGGCGUAACGAUUUGGGCACUGUCUCAACGAGAGACUCGGUGAAAUCAUAGUACCUGUGAAGAUGCAGGUUACCCGCGACAGGACGGAAAGACCCCGUGGAGCUUUACUGUAGCCUGAUAUUGAAAUUCGGCACAGCUUGUACAGGAUAGGUAGGAGCCUUUGAAACGUGAGCGCUAGCUUACGUGGAGGCGCUGGUGGGAUACUACCCUAGCUGUGUUGGCUUUCUAACCCGCACCACUUAUCGUGGUGGGAGACAGUGUCAGGCGGGCAGUUUGACUGGGGCGGUCGCCUCCUAAAAGGUAACGGAGGCGCUCAAAGGUUCCCUCAGAAUGGUUGGAAAUCAUUCAUAGAGUGUAAAGGCAUAAGGGAGCUUGACUGCGAGACCUACAAGUCGAGCAGGGUCGAAAGACGGACUUAGUGAUCCGGUGGUUCCGCAUGGAAGGGCCAUCGCUCAACGGAUAAAAGCUACCCCGGGGAUAACAGGCUUAUCUCCCCCAAGAGUUCACAUCGACGGGGAGGUUUGGCACCUCGAUGUCGGCUCAUCGCAUCCUGGGGCUGUAGUCGGUCCCAAGGGUUGGGCUGUUCGCCCAUUAAAGCGGUACGCGAGCUGGGUUCAGAACGUCGUGAGACAGUUCGGUCCCUAUCCGUCGUGGGCGUAGGAAAUUUGAGAGGAGCUGUCCUUAGUACGAGAGGACCGGGAUGGACAUACCUCUGGUGUACCAGUUGUCGUGCCAACGGCAUAGCUGGGUAGCUAUGUGUGGACGGGAUAAGUGCUGAAAGCAUCUAAGCAUGAAGCCCCCCUCAAGAUGAGAUUUCCCAACUUCGGUUAUAAGAUCCCUCAAAGAUGAUGAGGUUAAUAGGUUCGAGGUGGAAGCAUGGUGACAUGUGGAGCUGACGAAUACUAAUCGAUCGAAGACUUAAUCAA
rnacentral:rRNA from 1 species